rnacentral:rRNA from 1 species
UACGUAGGGUCCGAGCGUUAAUCGGAAUUACUGGGCGUAAAGCGUGCGCAGGCGGUUUUGUAAGCCAGAUGUGAAAGCCCCGGGCUUAACCUGGGAAUGGCAUUUGGGACUGCAAGGCUGGAGUACGGCAGAGGGAGGUGGAAUUCCAGGUGUAGCAGUGAAAUGCGUAGAGAUGUGGAGGAACACCGAUGGCGAAGGCAGCCCCCUGGGUCAAGAUUGACGCUCAUGCACGAAAGCGUGGGGAGCAAACAGG